GACAGAGGAGGCAAGCGUUAUCCGGAAUUAUUGGGCGUAAAGCGUACGCAGGCGGCUUCUUAAGUCUGACGUGAAAGCUCCCGGCUUAACUGGGAGAGGUCGUUGGAGACUGGGGGGCUUGAGGCGAUGAGAGGGGUGUAGAAUUCCCGGUGUAGUGGUGGAAUGCGUAGAUAUCGGGAGGAAUACCAGUGGCGAAAGCGACACCCUGGCAUAGGCCUGACGCUCAUGUACGAAAGCGUGGGGAGCAAACGGG
rnacentral:rRNA from 1 species